AUUGAACGCUGGCGGCAGGCCUAACACAUGCCAGUCGAACGGUAACAGGAAGAAGCUUGCUUCUUUGCUGACGAGUGGCGGACGGGUGAGUAAUGUCUGGGAAACUGCCUGAUGGAGGGGGAUAACUACUGGAAACGGUAGCUAAUACCGCAUAACGUCGCAAGACCAAAGAGGGGGACCUUCGGGCCUCUUGCCAUCGGAUGUGCCCAGAUGGGAUUAGCUAGUAGGUGGGGUAACGGCUCACCUAGGCGACGAUCCCUAGCUGGUCUGAGAGGAGGACCAGCCACACUGGAACUGAGACACGGUCCAGACUCCUACGGGAGGCAGCAGUGGGGAAUAUUGCACAAUGGGCGCAAGCCUGAUGCAGCCAUGCCGCGUGUAUGAAGAAGGCCUUCGGGUUGUAAAGUACUUUCAGCGGGGAGGAAGGGAGUAAAGUUAAUACCUUUGCUCAUUGACGUUACCCGCAGAAGAAGCACCGGCUAACUCCGUG
rnacentral:rRNA from 1 species